UACAGAGGUCUCAAGCGUUGUUCGGAUUCAUUGGGCGUAAAGGGUGCGUAGGCGGCGGGGUAAGUCGGAUGUGAAAUCCCGGGGCUCAACCCCGGAACUGCAUUCGAUACUGCCUUGCUAGAGUACUGGAGAGGAGACUGGAAUUUACGGUGUAGCAGUGAAAUGCGUAGAUAUCGUAAGGAAGACUAGUGGCGAAGGCGAGUCUCUGGACAGUUACUGACGCUGAGGCACGAAGGCCAGGGGAGCAAACGGG
rnacentral:rRNA from 1 species